UACAGAGGGUGCAAGCGUUAAUCGGAAUUACUGGGCGUAUAGCGUGCGUAGACGGUUGCGUAAGUCAGAUGUGAAAGCCCCGGGCUCAACCUGGGAAUUGCAUUUGAGACUGCGCAGCUAGGGUGCGGAAGAGGGAAGCGGAAUUUCCGGUGUAGCGGUGAAAUGCGUAGAUAUCGGAAGGAACACCAGUGGCGAAAGCGGCUUCCUGGUCCAGCACCGACGUUCAGGCACGAAAGCGUGGGGAGCAAACAGG
rnacentral:rRNA from 1 species